CGCCGGCCGUAUUGUCAUAGUUUUGUUUUUCUGCAAGUCCGCGCACGCAGCUCAUCGGUAGCUGCACGGGUGCACGGCGUCGCAUUGCGACCUGCGGCAUUUUCUCGUGUUCGCGCAAUCGGUGUGAAACAUGUCGCAUGUGAAAUAUUUGAUAGAAGUGCCUCACGUCCAAGUCGAGCCGCCGUACGGGUGUAAGGCUGUGUGCCCCGUUCUCGGAAGCGUCGACGGGUUUCCGGCAUGCGGAUUUCAGCGUUUGGACUCGACUUUUGGUGAAGAUGUCGAUCGACCUUGGGCCUGGUGACAGCACACCCGACAUGGCCAAAGUGCAGUCUAUCAGUUCAGUGCCCCCGAAUGGACCAUCAACAUCGGAAAAUGAAACAGAGCCAGGGGGAAAAGGUUCCGGUAACACCAUGCAUUCAGUAUGGUGGCCCAGACGUGUAUGCAAGCAAUCUCCUUCAUGUGGACCAAGAACUACUCUGCAGUGUCUCGCAGACUUCCAUGCGAAGUCCUCAACAUUCUCGUCUCAGUGGAAUGGCUGCUCAUCUAUCUGCGUGUCCAUCACCAAGACGGCCAGUUGUAAAGCUCCUGUACCCGUUUAAGAAAGAUUAAUGAUUUUUUUAUUUAGUUUUCAUGGUUGGCCAUAGAAUCUUAACAUUUUUGAUGUUUAUAACAUUUUUACCUGGCACAAAGUGGUGCAAUAACUUUAAACCAGUGUAAUGUAUUUAAGUGAUGCUCACUCUAAUGCCUAUCUGGUUUUGUUAGUGUUUAAGAAAUUUGUAUGUCUGAUGAGGUAACAGCAUUU